CAUCCUCAUCAAACUCCACCAAAAGUGACAGAGCUGAGCCAGCACAGCUGUAGCUAACCCCACUGCACAGGGUCAAUCAGGUAAGGACAGCAUCACUGGGAAAAAGGCUCCAGACAUCCCAUAAACAAGGACAAACCAGCGAAGAAAUUUGCUCCAGUGGCGAUGUCUCCUCCCCGCCCCCUGCUGGUGAGAUGGUGAAUACUCAGCUCAGGCUCAGAUCACAUUGUCCCCAGCCAAGAUAUCCAAGGGUUAUUCAAUUCCUAGAUUGCACUUGAAACAUACGAAGAAAAUGUAAUGUGUAAUACUCAUAAUUAUUUUAAAGAAAUCAUCAAAGGUACAACUCCCCACCACCACCACCUGAGCCGCUGCCACUUGGAAAGAGGAGACCAGAGGGGAAGUUUAAGAGAAGCAAACACCUCGUGAUGAAGCUCUACAGAUCCUCAAACCCCAGAUGGGACAAUC